rnacentral:rRNA from 1 species
AUUGAACGCUGGCGGCAGGCCUAACACAUGCAAGUCGAACGAGUGGCGGACGGGUGAGUAAUGUCUGGGAAACUGCCUGAUGGAGGGGGAUAACUACUGGAAACGGUAGCUAAUACCGCAUACCAUCAGAUGUGCCCAGAUGGGAUUAGCUAGUUGGUGGGGUAACGGCUCACCAAGGCGACGAUCCCUAGCUGGUAUGAGAGGAUGACCAGGCACACUGGAAAUGAGACACAGUCCAGACUCCUACGGGAGGCAGCAGUGGGGAAUAUUGGAAAAUGGGCGCAAGCCGGAUGAAGAAAUGCCGCGUGUAUGAAGAAGGCAUUCGGGUUGUAAAGUACUUUCAGCGGGGAGGCGUUAACCGCAGAAGAAGCACCGGCUAACUCCGUGCCAGCAGCCGCGGUAAUAG